rnacentral:rRNA from 1 species
AGGGGUGCUUCCAUCGUGAAGAAUCUGGAGCAGGUGCUGCAUGGCUGUCGUCAGCUCGUGUCGUGAGAUGUUGGGUUAAGUCCCGCAACGAGCGCAACCCUUGCCUUUAGUUGCCAGCAGUUCGGCUGGGCACUCUAAAGGGACUGCCGGUGUUAAACCGGAGGAAGGUGGGGAUGACGUCAAGUCCUCAUGGCCUUUAUGACCAGGGCUACACACGUACUACAAUGGCCGAUACAAAGGGCAGCGACACUGCGAGGUGAAGCCAAUCCCGUAAAAUCGGUCUCAGUCCGGAUUGGAGUCUGCAACUCGACUCCAUGAAGUUGGAAUCGCUAGUAAUCGUGGAUCAGCAUGCCACGGUGAAUACGUUCCCGGGCCUU